rnacentral:rRNA from 1 species
ACGUAGGUGGCAAGCGUUAUCCGGAUUUAUUGGGCGUAAAGCGAGCGCAGGCGGUUUUCUAAGUCUGAUGUGAAAGCCUUCGGCUUAACCGAAGAAUUGCAUUGGAAACUGGAGGACUUGAGUGCAGAAGAGGAGAGUGGAACUCCAUGUGUAGCGGUGAAAUGCGUAGAUAUAUGGAAGAACACCAGUGGCGAAAGCGGCUCUCUGGUCUGUAACUGACGCUGAGGUUCGAAAGUGUGGGUAGCAAACAGGAUUAGAUACCCUGGUAGUCCACACCGUAAACGAUGAAUGCUAAGUGUUGGAGGGUUUCCGCCCUUCAGUGCUGCAGCUCACGCAAUAAGCAUUCCGCCUGGGGAGUACGACCGCAAGGUUG